rnacentral:rRNA from 1 species
CCUGGUUGAUCCUGCCAGUAGUCAUAUGCUUGUCUCAAAGAUUAAGCCAUGCAUGUCUAAGUACAAGCCUCACUAAGGUGAAACCGCGAAUGGCUCAUUAAAUCACACCUAAUGUACUGGACAGUCUCAGUUACUUGGAUAACUGCGGUAAUUCUGGAGCUAAUACAUGCGUACUAGCCGCGACUCACGGAGCGGUGCUUUUAUUAGAUCAAAACCAAACGGCCUCGAGCCGUCCCCCUGGUGAUUCUGAAUAACUUUGGGCUGAUCGCACGGACUCGUUCCGGCGACGUGUCCUUCCAAGGUGUGCCCUAUCAACUGUCGACUGUGGCAUAGACGCCCACAGUGGUUUUGACGGGUAACGGGGAAUCAGGGUUCGAUUCCGGAGAGGGAGCCUUAAAAACGGCUACCACAUCCAAGGAAGGCAGCAGGCACGCAAAUUACCCAAUGAACGAAGUUCGAGGUAGUGACGAAAAAUAACAAUACAAGACUCAUCCGAGGCCUUGUAAUUGGAAUGAGUACACUUUAAAACCGUUUCACGAGGAUCUAUUGGAGGGCAAGUCUGGUGCCAGCAGCCGCGGUAAUUCCAGCUCCAAUAGCGUAUAUUAAAGUUGUUGUGGUUAAAAAGCUCGUAGUUGGAUUUCGGCGGGUAUUGGUUGGUUUGAAUUGCUUCAACACUGACUUUUUUACCCGUGUGUUUUGCCAGAAUUUAGCGGGUGAUCUUCGCCGAUUGUCCGUUGGAACUGGUAGGUUUACUUUGAAAAAAUUAGAGUGCUCAAAGCAAGCUUACUGCUUGAAUAGUUGCGCAUGGAAUAAUAGAAUAGGAAGUCGUUUCUAUUUUGUUGGUUUUCGGAAAUCGACUUAAUGAUUAAUAGGGACAGUCGGGGGCAUUUGUAUUCAAACGACAGAGGUGAAAUUCUUGGACCGUUUGAAGACAAACUACUGCGAAAGCAUUUGCCAAGAAUGUUUUCAUUAAUCAAGAACGAAAGUUAGAGGUUCGAAGGCGAUUAGAUACCGCCCUAGUUCUAACCAUAAACGAUGCCAGCUAGCGAUCUGCCGGCGUUUAAUUUUCUGACUUGGCAGGGAGCUUCCGGGAAACCAAAGCUUGUGGGUUCCAGGGGAAGUAUGGUUGCAAAGCUGAAACUUAAAGGAAUUGACGGAAGGGCACCACCAGGAGUGGAGCCUGCGGC